GUUGCUUUCAUUUAAAUGAUUCUUGUUGGAUUUCUUAAAGAGAUGAUAUCAAUCCCCUCAUAGAUGAGAAGAAUGCAAACAAAGCCAUCAUGUUCUGAGCAAAGACCUUUAAGCACUUAACUUCCCUCAAUUAGCUCAGCAGCUCUGAGAUGGGUUCUAUGUUACAGGUGAAAUAAACCAACACAUGGUAGACAACUCAUUGUCAGUGAUAGAGCUGUUAGUCUAAUCCAAGUGCAUCUGCCUCCAGAGCCCACAGCCUUUUCCUUGACAUUCUGCCCAAGGAGCCCAUGAUCUUGGUCAUUAUAAACUCUCCCCAUAGCUUAUGUUAUAAAGCCUUACACACAAUGGAUGCCCAGUAAAUUUGUUCACUUAUUCCUCAGGUAUUUAUUGAGCGUCUCCUAUGUUCCCAGCGCUGUUUAGCUGCUGAGGAUAUAAUAACAAAUGCCGCAGUCUGGCUGGGCACAAAAUCAGGAGCCACCACACAGCUUGUAGAUUCAAACAGCAACUCUUUAUUCCCGAACUCACACCAGCACUCUGCAAUCACAUUCUGGGGAAAUUCACGUUCUCUGCCCAAAUUCAUCCCCACUGGGCUUCUGUCUCCCAAAAAAUACUGUCUGAAUCCCGUGAGAACUCAAGGGGAACUCAGGCAGCAGGAUACGCCCUAUUCCCAGCAGGAAUAACCUUAAACCUGGAACCACCCUAAACCCGGAUAGUCCUAAACCGGGAAUGCCCUAAACCCGGAUUAUCCUAAACCGGGAACACCCUAAACCCGGAUCCGCCUUGGUCCUUGAGCAAGGUCACCUACAUGCAGUGUCACUGCAAAAUGUCCUAUUUCCACGAGUCCUUCCACUAAGCAACAUGGGGUACGCUGGCAAGGAAAUUGUCAUACCUACUUGGCUAAUGGCUCCCAGCAAACAAACAAGAUAGAUAAAAAUCUCUGCCCUCAUAGUGUUUAUAUUCUAAUGGGGACAAUAAAAACAUAAAAAAUACUAUGUAAGAGAUGGCAUGAAUUGGAAAGGAAUUUGGAGAAAAAUGAGAGUGUGGAGAGUCAGGGGAGGUUGCUGUUUAAAAUGGUGAGAUUGGGAAAACUGCCGCUUACACUAGUAAAGGGGCAAGAUAUUCAAUGACCUCAAUAAAGAACAUUCCUGGCAGAGGGAGCAUUUCAGACAAAAGGCACUGGGGUUUGGUGUGCUUGAGUAACCACUAGACCAAUGUCAUGGAUAGAACAGAUGUGCCCUCCAAAAUUCAUUUGUUGAGACCCUAACUCCCAUGUGGCUGUGUUUAGAGUAGGAGACAUGCAAGGAAAAGAGUAGCAGAUAAACUCCCAGAUGCAGAUUGGAUGCAGGUGUGAUCUAGUUUGGUAGGCCAUGUAGCUAGAGGUGUGUAGGUCAUUAGAAACACUGGGCUUUUACUCCAAGUGAAAUGGGAGCCCACUGGAGGAUUUUGAGCAAAAGAAUGAUACAAUUUAUUUUAUUAAUCUGAUUAUUGUUUUGAGAAUAGAUUUAAGAGGGACGG
rnacentral:lncRNA from 1 species